rnacentral:ncRNA from 1 species
CCGUUCUUGGUAGAGUCCGCCACGCGACUGACGCAAUCACUGCGUAAUAACGUCGCAUAGCAUACAUUAUGCGAAGUUAUACGAUGGAUGGCGCGGAGGCGCGCGACCCACCCCCGGGCAUCGGGGCGAGCGCCAUGCCCCGAUGAGUAGGAGGGCGCGGCGGCCGCUGCAAAACCCGGGGCGCGAGCCCGGGCGGAGCGGCCGUCGG